AUACAGAGGGUGCGAGCGUUAAUCGGAAUUACUGGGCGUAAAGCGCGCGUAGGUGGAUACUUAAGUCAGAUGUGAAAGCCCCGGGCUCAACCUGGGAACUGCAUUUGAUACUGGGCAUCUAGAGUGUGGUAGAGGGAAGUGGAAUUUCCGGUGUAGCGGUGAAAUGCGUAGAUAUCGGAAGGAACACCAGUGGCGAAGGCGACUUCCUGGGCCACAACUGACACUGAGGCGCGAAAGCGUGGGUAGCAAACGGGAUUAGAAACCCCAGUAGUCC
rnacentral:rRNA from 1 species